CCUUCCCCCAUCUCUCUCUCCUCUCUCUCCUUCUCUCUCUUGAUCCGCCAUAGCCAAUCGGUUGCCCACUUGAGCAGAUGUUUUGUUGUCUUCAAUUGCCGAUGGAUGUUCUUCGUUUCCAGAUUAUCUAUUCUUCGUUGCAUAAGUGACCGUUCGAUUCAAGCAUGCCUUGCGGAAGAUCGCUCAAAAUCUUCGAAAAACAAAAAUAAGGUAGUUUUUACUCAUAAAUCUGAUACAUUCUUGUAGUAUUCGACAUCUUCUUCAGUUUAAUGGUAUGAAUUGAUGUUUAUAUUAGUAAAUUUACUGAUAUACAUUGUCUUCUUCAAACACCCAUUUGUUCUCGUAAGUUUAGAUGAAAAAAAUUAGGGAUAUGUUUCUAGAUUUUGGUUUUGGUUUUGGUUUUGGUGUUAAUUUACUGUUUUAUUAGAUGUUAAACCUGAUAAAUUUUGGAAUUUCAGUUCAAACAAGGGAAGAAAAGUAAGCCACCAUUAGUUUUAAAUUUUUGUUUUAGUCAUCUGCUUGACUUCGUCUUGUGACUUUCUCUUGUGAUUUAGAUGGACACCGGAGCUCCGGAUUUGGUGUUUUCAAAGUGGUUUGACAGGUUAAGCAAACUAGGUUUGUGGUAUUUUUUCGAUUUCGUAGGACAACUCCAUUUGUUGUUUUACUUAUUGCUUUAUCUGCUCUAUGUUUUUGUGAGAAGAAUAAUGCUCUGAAUGGAUUCUUAUUUGUUGAAAUAUUUGAUUCCUCACUGUUUCAAGGAUGGGUUUAGUUGUUGGAUGAAAUGUCAUAAACGUGUUGUAUUAGAUUACGUGAAUUUAAUCUAAUCUUGUCUAUAAAGUGGCAUGUUCUGUUUUAACUUUUGAGAUGCUUUAGAGUGAGAUAAAUGCUAACUUCAUUGCCAUUCGUCUCAUAGUGUCAGUUCAAACUAGGUUAUGACAUUUUUUCGGAGCAUACAUAUUGUAAUCCAUUCUGUUUUUUCUGCUAAGAAGUGUCGAAUAUUGUCUCCAUGCAUUUCUUUUUGUUUGAGUCUCAUUUUCUUUACAAAUGUAUGCCAAUUGUAAUGAUUUCUUAAGUAGGAUUUUAAGACACGAGUUGGUGUUUCGUUUGAUAAUGCGAAAAUAUGCAAUUACAAGGACCAAUAAUAUAAUCCCAAUUCUUUUGAAUUAACUUUGUGCACAGAAAGAGCCAGCUGAUAGAAAAAAAAUAGUGAGCAAAUGGCAUCCAACAACAAAUAUUACACUUAGGUGACAUUACAAAAUUCAUUCUAAAUCAGAAGGUAGGUGUUUGCUUAAAGCCAUCACAUCCUAAUUGUCGGACGAUGAUCAGUUUAGAGAUGCCACUUCCCACAAGGUAAUACAUAAUAAUCCUUGAGUCUUUCAACUUACCUUAAUUUGUGUUAUAACUCUCUAUUUAUUAGUUCUUGCAUCUUCUGUUUCUUCAUUUUUUCAUUUUUUUUCUUUUGUAGGAGUGUCAAAUUAGGUGGAAAAAUACUCAUGGAGAAACUGUGUUGUAAGUUGUAACAAUGUGUGGGCCUUGCUUGAUGAGCUCCCUAUGCCUCAUUUGAUUGUGGAAAUCACACCUUUUCCUGCGGGCCCAUUUGCAGAAAACGAUUACUCGAAAGCUGAAAUAUUGAAGUUUCUUAAAGAAAGAAACUGAAAUAGAGAGAUUAUGUGAAAAAUUCGUUGGUGAAGAAAUUACUAGCUGCUAGGGAUCUUGCGGUAUGACCAAAUAAUCCCUUUUCUAUCUUCCGUUGGUUGUUUUCUUAUAUAGUAAUUAUCUAAACAUGUUACUUAAGGGUAAUCUAUGAGAUAAAUUCUCAUUUGGAACAUAUCUUGUUGAGCAAAAAACAGUCUUUCGACAAUAUUAAGUUGCAUUAUUGUCUACUUAUCCCAAAAAAAAAAGUUAGAGUGCAUUUGGAUGGAGGGAUUUUUUCAAAUGUGUUGUAACUAUAUGAUUUUUCGCAUGUCACCUUAAAUUAGUACCAAUUACUUAGAUCUAUUGGUUGUUUCUUUUUGGUUCAACAUGCCAACUGUUCUAGCUGGCAAAAUUGAGAAGUGAUUGUUGCACUAUGUUUUUGUAGAUCAAUGUUAUUUAUGUUUAUCUUAUAGUUUUCUUCUAACUCUAAUUAUUAUUCCCAUUUAUGUUAAUCGUUUAAGCAGAAGAACGAACUAUUGUUUAUAUUUUUAUUUUCUUUGCAGAACCCAAUACUCGUGAAGUGUCUAAAAUGGUCAAGAGUAUGGAGGAUAAAAGAAUUGAUAGAAAAGAUUUCAUGAGUGUAUGAGAAAAGAGAAUCACAACAGUUAGGAAGAACCACCCAGCGAUGUGCAAUCUUUGCAACUGCACCAACAAGGUGGGCACAAGAAGAUAGCAGUAGUUGCAAAAGCUUAAAGACGGCCAAUAGAGGAAAAAUAAAAUAUUGCAGCAAAUGAAUGAAGAAUUGGUUUAUAA
rnacentral:lncRNA from 1 species